CUAAUAAUAUAGCACAGUAAUAAUAUAUGAAUAUAAUAUAUAAUAUUGCUAAUAUUGUAAUUUUUGGUGAAAUUUAUUAUAGUACCACCCAAAGUUAGGGACUGUCAUGAGGAAUAAAUGAUGUGUGCAUAUACUUUUGUGUAAAUACCUAUCACAGUGAUUGGAACAUAGCAGGGCUAAAUGAAUAGUUGUUGAAUAAGCUAAUGUAUUGGGGAAGCUACAAAGGGUAGAUUGUUAUACAAAUGCUUGUACUUCUUAUUUUUAACAAAAAUAGAUUGAGCAAUCAGAAUCUCUCUAUGAGCAAACAAAGGAGGUCAAAAGAUGCUCAAAAAUGUCCCUAUUGAUCAAGUAUGUUAUUAGAAUAUUUAGCAAUCAAUAGGGCAUGGAUGCUGCCCGACUGGAAUAAAUGCUGGCAGUAGCUCCUGAUGAGGGUCCUAAGGGCCCCAACUCUGCCAUGCAUUAUCCCUUUAGUUAGAAAUUGUGGAAAGGUCUUGGAGGGGUCCUAAGAGUGUACCAGAGAAGAGGAAGUGGUAGUAUGGGGUGAAGGUGUUUGCAUAGGAUAGCAGCCAUGUUCCAACAAGUACAAAGCAAUUUCACUAUCUUAAUAUCUGGUUUAGCUGUGCUGGUGCUUCUGAUCUAAAGUAGCUCUGCCCCACAAACAAAAUCCUACAUAACUAGAGUUGAAAAGAGAGACAAUAUAUCCUGUAUAUACUAUGUUCCUCAAUUCACUUCCCAUCCUAAACACAGGGACAAGGAUUUGUUUGCUUGAAAGUAAUGAUCUGUCAACAAACUGGGUCAAAGAAAAGACCCUGGCAGCUUAGCCUGAGGAGAAGGGUGCUAGUAUCACAUCACGCAUCUAUAAAAUGUGGGCCGCUUUUGGAAAUACGUGGGUGAGUUGCCAAUUGCAUCAGCCUAGCUGUUGCAGUUCUUGAUAAUUAUUAGUCAUCUUUGUUCCAGCAAAAUCCUCAUCAUUCUCAAUAGAUUAGAGGCUAAAUUUCAAAUCCACUUUAGUAAAAAUCUUUACAAUUGGACUGUUAGAAACCUUGCAUUAUUUGAACAAAAGUGACGUAUUUGAAGAUCAGUGGGAAAGUUGGAAAAUAAACCAAUUCCUGCUCACUAAUUAUUUUUUUAAAUGCCAUGAAUGGAGGCUUGGUUUCACUGAAUAUGCCUUUAAAGAUUUUUAAAUGUUUUAUAUCCAGUCAAGUUGAGAUUUUUAAGAACAUUUUUAAUAUGUAAUAAAAUUUUAUAAUGACUUUUUUCAAAAAAGUUAACAAACUGCAAGCA
rnacentral:lncRNA from 10 species